rnacentral:rRNA from 1 species
AGUGAACGCUGGCGGUAGGCCUAACACAUGCAAGUCGAACGGCAGCACAGUAAGAGCUUGCUCUUACGGGUGGCGAGUGGCGGACGGGUGCGGAAUACAUCGGAAUCUACUUUUUCGUGGGGGAUAACGUCGGGAAACUUACGCUAAUACCGCAUACGACCUACGGGUGAAAGCAGGGGAUCUUCGGACCUUGCGCGAUUGAAUGAGCCGAUGUCGGAUUAGCUAGUUGGCGGGGUAAAGGCCCACCAAGGCGACGAUCCGUAGCUGGUCUGAGAGGAUGAUCAGCCACACUGGAACUGAGACACGGUCCAGACUCCUACGGGAGGCAGCAGUGGGGAAUAUUGGACAAAGGGCGCAAGCCUGAUCCAGCCAUACCGCGUGGGUGAAGAAGGCCUUCGGGUUGUAAAGCCCUUUUGUUGGGAAAGAAAAGCAGCAGGUUAAUACCCCGCUGUUCUGACGGUACCCAAAGAAUAAGCACCGGCUAACUUCGUG